rnacentral:rRNA from 1 species
GAUGAACGCUGGCGGCGUGCCUAAUACAUGCAAGUCGAGCGAACAGACGAGGAGCUUGCUCCUCUGACGUUAGCGGCGGACGGGUGAGUAACACGUGGAUAACCUACCUAUAAGACUGGGAUAACUUCGGGAAACCGGAGCUAAUACCGGAUAAUAUAUUGAACCGCAUGGUUCAAUAGUGAAAGACGGUUUUGCUGUCACUUAUAGAUGGAUCCGCGCCGCAUUAGCUAGUUGGUAAGGUAACGGCUUACCAAGGCGACGAUGCGUAGCCGACCUGAGAGGGUGAUCGGCCACCCUGGAACUGGGACACGGUCCAGACUCCUACGGGAGGCAGCAGUAGGGAAUCUUCCGCAAUGGGCGAAAGCCUGACGGAGCAACGCCGCGUGAGUGAUGAAGGUCUUCGGAUCGUAAAACUCUGUUAUUAGGGAAGAACAAAUGUGUAAGUAACUAUGCACGUCUUGACGGUACCUAAUCAGAAAGCCACGGCUAACUACGUG